GAAAACGCUUUGACGAGAAGAAGUAGCGGAUUCCCAUCCGGUCAGAGAGUCUCCGUUUGGUGCGAGGAGAUGCGGAUGCCCCGUGAAUACACCUCUGAGCGGAUGUCCUGAAGGCUGCACCCGGUCGGGUAGGGGCAUACGGUUCACAGCCGUUAUCCUGUCCGAGGUUCUGCAUGCUUUAUGCAGAAUAAACUGAGGUGGUACCACGAGUCAAUUCGUCCUCUGU
rnacentral:ncRNA from 1 species